ACGAUGAAGAGUUUGAUCCUGGCUCAGGACGAACGCUGGCGGUGCGCCUUAUGCAUGCAAGUCGAGCGAAGCUUUUCAGUAGUUUACUACAGAAAAUGACUGAGCGGCGAACGGGUGAGUAACGCGUGAGCAAUCUACCUUAGUUACAGGGAUAGCCCGAGGAAACUCGGAUUAAUACCUGAUAUUCUUUAUAUUUCGCAUGAAAUUAAAAGGAAAGGUCAGCC
rnacentral:rRNA from 1 species